AGUGAACGCUGGCGGUAGGCCUAACACAUGCAAGUCGAACGGCAGCACAGUAAGAGCUUGCUCUUACGGGUGGCGAGUGGCGGACGGGUGAGGAAUACAUCGGAAUCUACUUUUUCGUGGGGAUAACGUAGGGAAACUUACGCUAAUACCGCAUACGACCUACGGGUGAAAGCAGGGGAUCUUCGGACCUUGCGCGAUUGAAUGAGCCGAUGUCGGAUUAGCUAGUUGGCGGGGUAAAGGCCCACCAAGGCGACGAUCCGUAGCUGGUCUGAGAGGAUGAUCAGCCACACUGGAACUGAGACACGGCCCAGACUCCUACGGGAGGCAGCAGUGGGGAAUAUUGGGCAAUGGGCGCAAGCCUGAUCCAGCCAUACCGCGUGAGUGAAGAAGGCCUUCGGGUUGUAAAGCCCUUUUGUUGGGAAAGAAAAGCAGCAGGUUAAUACCCCGCUGUUCUGACGGUACCCAAAGAAUAAGCACCGGCUAACUUCGUG
rnacentral:rRNA from 1 species